AUGUGGCUUAAUUUGACUCAACGCGGGAAAUCUUACCGGGUCCGGACACACUGAGGAUUGACAGGCAAUAUAUGUGACUCUUCGGAGUUUGCAUUGUUAAAUAUGCUAGUCCUUUCAUGAUUAUGUGAUAGGUGGUGCAUGGCCGUUCUUAGUUCGUGGAGUGAUCUGUCUGCUUAAUUGCGUUUCAAAUUACUUAUAAGGUAGCAAUACGCGAUGAAGCUUUCAAUAGUCCUCACGGAUUCACUUGAGUCUCUCGCUUCGCUAUCCUUUCGAAUGCAACGAACGUGACCGCAACCUCUUGUUGCCUUCGUUUAACAUCCUGCAGNUCGCUGUGGGUACUGAGGGCUUCACUCGGUGACUUUGGGCUGAGCAAUCGGUCUUUUGAUCUGAGUAAACUAGAGGGACCGCUGUCAACUUCUUAAACCAGAGGAAGGUUGCGGCAAUAACAGGUCUGUGA
rnacentral:rRNA from 1 species